GAGAUGGUUCUGAGUCGUUUGCAGAAGGAGAACCUCAAGAUUAAGUUGAGUAAAUGCUGCUUUUUCCAACAUCAAAUAUCUCAGCCACGUCGUUUCAGCAGGGGGAGUGGCAACUGACCCUGAGAAAAUCUCAGCUGUGGAGAAGUGGAAGUGUCCACAAAAUGUUCAGGAACUGAAGUCGUUUCUGUAGUUACUAUAAACACUUAGUCCCUGGAUUCUCACAAAUCACAGCACCACAUAAAUACUUGGAAGCUGAACUCUCCUAAGCACAAGAUCAGUAAGAAAGCAACUGUAAAACAUGUUUGGACUGAGGUAUGUGACACAGUAUUCCAAACACUUAAAACCAAACUCACUGCAGCUCCUGUGUGGCUUAUGCAGAUUUUCACAUGUAGAUGCUGGUCCUGAUGGUUUAGGAGCAGUAUUGUCACAAGAAUGUGAAGGCAGAGCUCUGAGAAAAACAGAGCGAAAUAUGCAAAAUUACAGUUCAAUGAAAUUGGAAUUUUUAGCACUUAAAUGAGCAGUCACAGAAAUUCUGUGAAUAUCUCCUGGGUCACAAAUGUGUUGUUUGUACAGAGAACAACCCUCUGUCACCUUCAAACAGCUGAAUUAGGAGCAGUAGAACAGAGAUGGGCUUCAGAACUAGCAUGUUUGAUUUGGACAUUAAAUACAAACUAGGAUGUUCUAAUGGCAAUGCAGAUGGACUGUCAAGACAAAAUGUGACCUCAGACCAGAUGGAGGACAUAGCACCCACAACUGUUCUUCCCGAAGGCCUUAGGUGUGCUUUUCAGGAUGACAACAAAAACACAACUCACAACUGUAUCUCUCAAAUGGUGACAGUGACCCUUGGCCGCCCGAUACCAACCUUUCUGUUUUUGCAGGCAGACGACCUCCGAAUCUUUUGGGACCGGGGCCAACGACCAGACUCAGAGGAAAGGGCCACAAUGUCUCAAGUGAUCCUGAAAUUGUUAGAGCAAUGGAACAGAAUUGUGGAAAAACAAGGCAUCCUGUACAGGCAAGUCUCACCACCUGAAGGAGAGGACCACUGACACAUCAGCUGGUGCUUCCACAAAGCCUCCAGCAGGAAGUACUCCAGUCCUCUCACGAACAACAUGGCCAUCAGGGAGUAGACCGAACUCUAGAUCUCAUCAGAAAACGGUGCUAUUGACCAGGAACCAAGGCUUCCACUUGACUGUCUACUGGACACUGUGGACGAGUGCAGAGGACUGGACCUCCAGUCAUCGAGAUGCUCUAAAUCACAUCUGUGAAGAUACCAGAAACAAACUGCAACUUUCUGCUGAAAGAUGAGCAAGACCUCAUGAUUCUAAGUGGAACAAGCUCCUGACCAGGACAGGCUGGCACAUACUGGACGUCCUCCUCAGCCCUCUGAACCUGUGGCAUGUGCAGUGACCCCUCCAGCUCCAGGGUUACGCUGGUCCCAAUGAACUGCAGCAGGCCAACAUCAAAACCCACACGGCUCACCAAGCUCCUUCAUGCAGCAGUAAAGUACUGAAAGUGCAGGUGCUCCUCAGGUGACAUUUCAUAGACCUUGACUUUAAAAUGUUCAUUGUGGCAAGGAGCUGAUCAUGUGAUCUCUGCCAUGUGGUCAGAGGUGAACCAGGUGACUUCCUCUUCCUGAGCAGGCCUAACACAUGGCUAGUUCUGCUGAGCCAAACAAAUGUUUGUUUGUACAUUUUAAUCUUGUUAAAUAAAAACAAAAUUGUAAUUUUUGUAAAUAUAAUUUUAAGGGUUUUAACAGUCCAGAUCAGAUUAUUUUAAUUGUAUUUUAUGUUAACCGCUCUGUGUUCACAGGCUCAGUGCUGGUUGCCGUUUUGUUGAGUUUUAGUUGAGUUACUGUUGUACAUUUACCAUCCACAGCUCUGCAGGGGGUGUGGGCUGGAGGUAGCUGGGUGGGGAGGGGGCUCACUUAGAGGGUGACCUUGUUUAUAGUUAAUGGUGGUGGUGGCACUUGUAAUUGGGUGUUUUCAGUUGUGAUAAUGGUUUUCUUUAUAUUGGCCUUGUUUAUUUUUUCACUUGUAUUAUGUCACCCCAGCUUUAGGGUGGAGCCUGACCCCUGCAGUGGUGUCCUCUCCUGUUGAAUCAACCUUAACGUUUUUGUUAAUAAAAGCUGCUGUAUGGCUGUUAGACCCACAUAUUGACCAGCAUGCUUUAUUAAAGCUACCUGUGGAGCCUGUGGAUUCCCGAGAUCGAGGAUUUAAAGACGGAACAAAGAGAAUGUUUGAAUUUUAUCAAGGGGAAAGACGUUAUUGUCUUCCUUCCUACAGAAUUUGGUGCUUUACAUAUGUCACGACCAAAUAGCAUUGACUGGGUAAAUAAAAAAAUUACCCACCUACUGUCCAGUGAACAAAUCCUAAUGUUUGGUCAG